AAACUUUCAACAACGGAUCUCUUGGUUCUCGCAUCGAUGAAGAACGCAGCGAAAUGCGAUAAGUAAUAUGAAUUGCAGAUUUUCGUGAAUCAUCGAAUCUUUGGGCGCACAUUGCACCCUCUGGUAUUCCAGAGGGUAUGCCUGUUUGAGCGUCAUUU
rnacentral:rRNA from 1 species